rnacentral:rRNA from 1 species
AAAAAGAAUGAAACUCAAAGGAAUUGAAGGAGAACAACACAAAAGGUGGAGCAUGUGGUUUAAUUGGAAGCAACGCGAAGAACCUUACCAGGUCUUGACAUCCUCUGACAAUCCUAGAGAUAGGACGUCCCCUUCGGGGGCAGAGUGACAGGUGGUGCAUGGUUGUCGUCAGCUCGUGUCGUGAGAUGUUGGGUUAAGUCCCGCAACGAGCGCAACCCUUGAUCUUAGUUGCCAGCAUUCAGUUGGGCACUCUAAGGUGACUGCCGGUGACAAACCGGAGGAAGGUGGGGAUGACGUCAAAUCAUCAUGCCCCUUAUGACCUGGGCUACACACGUGCUACAAUGGACAGAACAAAGGGCAGCGAAACCGCGAGGUUAAGCCAAUCCCACAAAUCUGUUCUCAGUUCGGAUCGCAGUCUGCAACUCGACUGCGUGAAGCUGGAAUCGCUAGUAAUCGCGGAUCAGCAUGCCGCGGUGAAUACGUUCCCGGGCCUUGUACACACCGCCCGUCACACCACGAGAGUUUGUAACACCCGAAGUCGGUGAGGUAACCUUUUAGGAGCCAGCCGCCGAAGGUGAACAGGGG